UACAGAGGUCUCAAGCGUUGUUCGGAUUCAUUGGCGUAAAGGGUGUGUAGGUGGCGCCGUAAGUCGGGUGUGAAAUUUCGGAGCUUAACUCCGAAACUGCAUUCGAUACUGCGGUGCUUGAGGACUGGAGAGGAGACUGGAAUUCAUGGUGUAGCAGUGAAAUGCGUAGAGAUCAUGAGGAAGACCAGUGGCGAAGGCGGGUCUCUGGACAGUUCCUGACACUGAGACACGAAGGCCAGGGAGCAACGGG
rnacentral:rRNA from 1 species